ACUUUCAGACCAGACUAGUUGCGUUAACUGUGAUUGUAGUUGUUGUAGUAUCUACACACUCUGCACAACCGUGGAGCCAACAGAAUAAGGAGCGGAUAAAUGUCUUCUCCAACUCAAGCAGACGACGAUGAGGUGGAAGAAGUGGAGUUUGUAUCAGAGGGGCCUGCCAGACCAGUAUUGGAAUGUAUUGACCUGGAUGAUGAGGCUGAGGGAUGUCCAUCAUUUGCAAGCACAAUUGAAGAUAAAAUCUCCCGCAAUAAAGCUCGUGUUUCAUCAACAUUGGACAGACUAGCACAGAAGGUGGCUCUUGAGAAGCAGGAAAGAAUAGAUAAAUGUCGGGCAUUCAAGGAGAAGCAAAUCCUACAAAGGGCUCAUGGACGGCAGGAACUGGCUUUCACUUCUUCAAAUGGCUUCAAUCGCGAUGCAAAGAACUGUGUGGACAUGUGGUUAAAGAGAGCAGGUCCUAAACCUGGAGUGAUUCAUUCUGGAUUUGGAGGGCGAAACAGACGUGUUGCUAUUCCUGGAAAUAGUUCCAAUAGACAGACUUGUCCAGUGGUCAACUGUACCCGGGUUUAUGACACUCUGUCCCUUCUUGACGGUCACCUAAAAAGGUUUGAUCACUCCCCUUGUGACCCAACCAUUCAUAUUAAAGGAUGGCCAUCUGAGCUCUUUGCCUGCAUAGCCUGCUCUCAACAUUUUGAGACCGAAGAAGCAUGGAUGACACAUCUCAUGUCCAAGGUGUCCUCAUCUGCCGCUGACGGUCACAGCAUCAAUCAGACCUUUCAGAGGAUUGUGUGUUUCGCCUGUCCGGCCUGCUUCCACCUCUUCAACCUCCGAGAUGAGUGCCUGCAGCACAUGACAACCAGAAACCACUUCACAGAGUCACUCGCCAUGAGCGAACCCAAAGGAAGAGCACAACCGAUUGCCGUCCCACAAUACGCUAAGAAUCGUCUCGUCGCGUUGUGCAAGGAUGUCCCGUUCAAAGUCCGAUGCUCUUUAUGUCACAAAGUACUGAUCUCACAUCAAGCAGCUAAGGCUCACUUUAAUGUGCAAUGCAGAGAUGGCUGUGCCGUGUCCUUGGCUGAUCAAACCAUAUUGCAGGUGAUGAAGCGGCUGCAAGUGGCCGGGCAGUGUUCCCUCUGCUGUAAAAUCUUCCUCAGCCAAGCUGAAAUCGAGAAACACAAAGAAUCGACCCAGCAUGACGUGGAGGUGAAUAACACCAUGGCCAAAGCCCUCCUUCAGUACUGCAGGUUUAGAGAAAUUCAACACACCCAGAGCGCUGGAGAGGCACAGGGCAGAAGACAGCCCACUGGCCUUGAGUCACCUUCUCAAAAAAGAACCAAGAAGAGGAGUGAUUGUGAUGAACUUCCAGCCAAGCGUAAGAGAGGCAGCGCUGUUAGAAACUAUGUAACAGCCUGGAUCUGCGAGUGCAGCAUACAGUUCUCAGAGGAGGCUACAGCCAAAAAGCAUAUAUUGGCUUCAAACCAAAUCUUCCAUCAGUGUGGCGUGUGUGGCAAACACAUGGGGGAGUCCGCCAUCACCCGCCUGCAUAUGAGUCGCUUCCACGGAGGAGCUCAUCUCUCCAACUUCCUGUAUAACUGCCGCAAGUGCAACGUGGAAAUGCCUCGGUAUGAAGACAUCAUGUCUCACGUGGCCGAGGCUCACAGCGGACACACCUACUUCACUGAACAGGAAGUGCCCGAGGAGGUCCAUACCAAGCCUUCAACCAGCAGCAAAGCAGGUUCAUCGUCCGGGUCCACGGUCCAACAGAACAUAGCAGAGACGUCUUCUUCCAACACAGAGCCGAUGUGGAUGUGCAGGAUGUGCGAGGACACCUUUGACUCGGAAGCGGCCGCACGCCAACACUGCAGCGACUUGAGCAGCCACAGCUUCCAGAGGUUCAUCUGUGGACACUGCCCCCAGAAGUUCUUUAAGGAUUCCACUGUGCGGAGACACUGUGCCAAUGAGCACGACGGGCAGAUAAAGAGCUCCCACUUCUGCGGCCUCUGCGACAGCAUGCCGUUCCAAACAGAGGCCGAGUUCCUGGAGCACUACAAGAGUCUUCACAGUACCGACUACUACCGUAUGGAUGAGAGUGAAGCCGAUCAGCCUGCUGUUGCUGAAAGCAGCAGUCAGAGUACGUGCCCGUGCAUGGGUUCCAAUCAGAGCCAAGAGAAGAAAAAAGCUACAUUUACACAAUGCAUGAGGUAUCUGUCUGCUGAGGGAGCAUGUCACUUUGUGUGCACUCUUUGUGGUGAAUAUUUGGAGACCUAUGCAAAGAUGAAGACUCACAUCCACACAAAGCACGCAGCCUUGAACCUGGACAAGACCUACGAAAUACAAUGCGAAGCUUGCCAGGAGAGUUUCACGAGUGUCCCGAGUUUCCAUAAACACUAUCACUCCCGACACUGUACAAUGGAACCUUGCAUGAGCUCCAGGACCUGCAGGAAAAUCACAAAAGCAGAAUCAUCCCCUGUAACAGUGCUCGAUGCCGUGGAGAUCAUAACAGACACCAAUGAGAUUGAAGAUGAAUCCGUGGUGAAGGUUUUGAGAAUGGAACCGGCCGACAGACAGAAGGAAGCAGGUGAUUCGGAGGAAGAGAUGCACCAUGAACCCUCUUCAAAUGCAGAAGAAGAAAGAGAGUCGGCAGGUUAGGGUUCUGUGGCUUGGCAUGUAUUCCUCGUUUCCCCUGAGUUUAACUUACUGCAGCCUCCGGAGGAAAAGAAAACAUACAACUUUUUUUGUUUUACAGAGAUGGAAGCAGUUCUCAGAAGAAGUCUUUUGGAGUUUUGAAGACAUGAUGAUUUUUGUUCUUUGUUUGUGACACAAUGCUUAUCUGACAUUAUAUUGCGAUGAUUUGUCCUAAGUAUUUGUGUUCUGAAUAUAAUAAAUAAAUAAAUACAA